rnacentral:lncRNA from 1 species
UGACUUUUCAAGUAAUUUAUUUGUAUAUAUCACCAAAUCAUAAAAAGCCAAUGUACUGCCCAGCAAAAAGCAUCCAUAUAUAAAACACCUUAACUCAUUAUCAGUAACACAAGAGUGUAUCACUUAUACUGAACCCAGUCCAGCUUCUAGUAAAGCCAAAGUGACUCCAUUAGCAGAAGGAUUGGACUCAGAAUUUUUAUUUGCCAGGUGUUUACAAAAGGCUAUAUUAAAAUGCUAGUAAAAAGCUUCCCUUUUGAGACUGUAUCAAAACAAUAGUAAACCUCACUCCAGUUCUGGUUUUGUCAAAUUCAGGCAAUUAAAGCUCCAAAUCAGCAGUCGUUACACUGCAAAAGACUAUACAAAUCAAGAGAGAUAAUAUUCAAAACAGACCAGGCUAUACCCUCAGCUUGUGUGGACUGGUGUGGCUCUGGCAUGGCUUACAAAGAAAAGCAAUAUACACCAGCAAAGGAUCUGCCCCCCUACUGCUUUCAAUGGUUAAAAAAAAAAAAAUUAUGAAAAAGUGAUCAGUUUUGUCCCCAAAUACCACUUACAGGGACCUGUUUAUCAACAAAACUCAAUAGUUAAGCUCAACUCAUAAAGCUUUUCCCACAUGGCUAUAAGAAGAGACAGUAGCUAACAAAUACAUAAAUCAGAGGACAUACAUUUCAGAGAGGCUGCACUGCCAUAAACAAGAAAGAUCUGCUUCAGAUCUUUGCAGGUGGUACCACACAAAAAUCCCAAACCUUUUAAAACAAUGGAUUUUAAUGAGCUACUUUCAAAAGCGGCAAGUCUGUGAGAUUUGAGAACAGUGUCUCCUUCCCCACACAAGCCACAAGCUACAUAGGGCAAAUGGCCAGCUGCAGGGUAUCUGGAUCUGCCAACACGGAAAGAAGAGGUUUCCAAAGCAGCCCCUUCAAACCUGGUGGUAAUGCCAGCACCUUUGCAAUAGAUAAUCUGCACAGCUGACACAAGUGGCUCUCUCUGGAAGCAGAGUUUAGGCUAACACAUACUUCAAGGAGGUGCUCUGCAGUUUGUGAAGCCCUAUAAGCAGGCUGCAAGCAAUAGGCACUGCCAUGCUGGGUCCCUUAUAUCGCAGCCUGAAAGCCAAAAUCCCUCAUAGGAAAUGCACUGACACUUCUCCUAACUAGCUGUUUCUGUUCUAGUUUAUGGCACUCUCCAGUCCCCUCAGCAGUCCUUGUCCUCAGUAGGAAGAGAUGUGAGAAAUAAGGCUUGAUCAGCUUGAUAGUGAUAAAACCCUCUGUGAAGGCUGCAGGAAUGUUUUUGGCAAUUGAGGGAUCCAGGGGAAGGAGGUGUCAGUGGAACUGCUGGAGUUUGUUGUUGUUGUUGUUUUGCCUUGUUUAUAAAUCUUCAAAAAUCUCCUAGGAGUGUACUUCAGACCACAAUAUACUGAUUUCUCAAUUGUGUAACUCGGGCUGAAAACCAGCAAUAGUUUUAUUCAGAGUAAUUUUUUAUGUAUUCAGAGUAAUUUUUUAUGUAAUUUUUAUGUAAAAUGAAUAUUUUACCAGAAUUAUUUUGAUACCAUCAGUCUGCACUGGCUGUGGACUCCAAUGUCGUGGUCCUUCCCCUGGAAGGACGCUAUUCAGCACAGAGGCACCAUUUAGCAAAAGGACUGCUUUCAAAUCUAGAAAACUGUGGUUUAAUAAGGAGAUAGCUAGCACCUUUUAAAGUCAAAUGUAGAACACUGUUUUAACAAUGAUGGUUAAAACUGUUGCAGCAGUCUAGAAAAUGGAAUGGGUUAACUGGCGCAAUCAAGAUCCCAUGUGUUGCAGAAAGAUAUGCUGUAUCUCAGAGACAAGCUAUUGGACUUCACAGUGUUAACAUGGAAAAAUAAUAAUUCCCUCUGCUGCAGGAGUGAGAGGGUGAAAAACUCUGGGCUGUGUUAUGUGGGGUAUCAUAAUUUGAUAAUCAUAAGAUGAUUUUCAAAUAUUUCUGUGCCUUAAAAUCCAUGAUUUAACAUAGCACUCCUCUAACUCCACCAGGUUCCUUGAGGGACUGCUGGCACCAGCCUUAGGAACCUUCUAGAGCAGCAUGUCAUCUGAAUCAGGCCUGUCUUAUGUAAAAGGAAGGGUUUGACGUCAUACCCCAACUGAGAACAGGGAAAAUCUGCAACACUUGUUCAUAUUUUUUUUACAUAGGAGCUGCAAUUUUUCUGACAUUCAUAAAUACUCUUCAGACCUGCAUACAAACUGGAGCC